rnacentral:rRNA from 1 species
UACGGAGGGUGCGAGCGUUGUCCGGAAUCACUGGGCGUAAAGGGCGCGUAGGCGGCUUCUCAAGCGUGUGGUGAAAGUCCGGGGCUCAACCCCGGGAUCGGCCGUGCGGACUGGGGAGCUCGAGUUCUGUAGAGGCGGGUGGAAUUCCGGGUGUAGCGGUGGAAUGCGUAGAGAGUCCGGAAGAACACCGGUGGCGAAGGCGGCCCGCUGGGCAGACGACGUGACGCUGAGGCGCGGACAGCGUGGGGAGCAAACGAGG